rnacentral:rRNA from 1 species
AUGGAUCUGCCUUGUCAUCGGUGGAUGGCCAUGGUUAUCCUCCCCCUCCUGCUCCUCGUGCCUCUCACCGCUGCCCAAAUGUGGCCAUCCUGUGGCGAGAGCGGCGACUACAAAUCAAAUAGCACCUACGAAGCCAACCUCAAGCUCCUCUCAACCACCCUCCCGAAGAAAGCAGCGUCCAGCACCAACCUCUUCGCCACCGACACCGUUGGCAAUGUUCCGAAUGUCAUCUUCGCCCUCGCACUCUGCCGCGGGGACUCCAACACCUCUGCCUGCGAGGGAUGUUUGGUUACUGCCUUCCAGGACGGGCAGGAGCACUGCGCGAACUAUAAGGACGCCGCUGUGUACUAUGAUAGCAAUCCUUGCAUGCUCAGGUUCUCCAACAAGAAUUUUCUCUCCACCACCGUCAAUGACCAUAUACUCAUCAUUGUUAGCAUCGAGAGCUUGAUGAUGAACAUCUCGACAAGAGCCGACUCCUUCAGGGUCUUGUUGUUCACGCUUCUGAACAACACGGCUCAAGCGGCCGCGAACAGCUUGAGGAGGUUCACCACCUCGCGCUUAGACGUCAACUCCUUCCCUACGCUCUACUGCCUUAUGCAGUGCACGCCAGACCUGACCGCCGACGACUGCACCGCAUGUUUGCAGCCUUACUUCCAGUAUACAGUCAAGUACAUGGAUGGUAAGAAAGGUGGUCGAUUACUGGGGACACGGUGUACCAUGAGAUACGAGAUAUUCCCAUUCUUCCAAGGGGACCCCAUGCUGCGUAUUAUCAACUUGGUAUCUGAAGUUCCGGCGAUCAACAACACCAUUCCACGGAUUACCGUGAACCCACCCCCACAGUCACAGUCACAGCCACAGUCGCCGGUUGCAGCACCACCACCUCCGGAGGCGCAAGCAGCCACCCAAGAACUUCAUGGACGCAACUCACGCCAGAGGCCGCUCUGGAUUAUCGCUGUGGCAGCUCCAUUACUGUCAAUAUUUCUGUGCGUUAUCUGUUUUGUUGUAUGGAUGAGAAGGCGAAGAAAAGGAACGGAAAUAUUACAUGAUCAAGCUGCCAUGAAUAGGCCGGAAGAAGACGCAUUGGUUUGGAGAUUGGAAGAGAAGAGUUCAGAGUUCACUCUGUUUGACUUAUCUGAGGUAUUGCGUGCUACACACAACUUCUCCAAAGAAAACCUACUUGGGCAAGGUGGUUUUGGCCCUGUCUACAAGGGCCAGUUACCAAAUGGAACAGAAAUUGCAGUUAAAAGGCUUGCCUCACAUUCAGGACAGGGUUUCACAGAAUUCAAAAAUGAAGUUGAACUUAUUGCAAAACUACAACACAGUAAUCUGGUCAAGCUCAUGGGAUGCUGCAUUAAGGGAGAGGAAAAACUUUUGGUGUACGAAUAUUUGCCAAAUAAGAGCUUGGACUUCUUCAUCUUUGAUGUUAACCAAACAACUUUGGUUGAUUGGAAUAAAAGAUGUGUGAUAAUCGAAGGGAUAGCCCAAGGUCUACUAUAUCUCCACAAGCACUCCCGGUUGCGCAUCAUACACAGAGACCUUAAGGCCAGCAACAUUCUCUUGGACCAGGACAUGAAUCCUAAAAUUUCUGAUUUUGGGCUAGCAAAAAUUUUCAGCACCAAUGAUUCUCAGGGAAGCACAAAGAAGGUGGUGGGAACAUAUGGUUAUAUGGCUCCGGAGUAUGCAUCUGAAGGAAUUUACUCUAUCAAAUCUGACGUGUUCAGUUUUGGUGUGUUGCUUCUCGAGAUCCUUAGUGGAAAAAGGAAUUCUGGUUUCCAUCAGCAUGAAGACUUUCUUAACCUCCUUGGAUAUUCAUGGCAUCUCUGGGAAGGAGGGAGAUGUCUUGAGCUUCUAGAAGCAUCGAUUGUUGAGGAGAUCCAUGCAGCGGAGGCUAGUAGGUACAUUAACAUUGCGCUAAUGUGCGUACAAGAGCGCGCAGACGAUCGACCAACCAUGUCGACUGUCGUCGCAAUGUUAAACAGUGAGAAUGUUAGUCUUCCAGGGCCUAAACAUCCGGCAUACUUCAACCUACGGGUAUCCAAGGAAGAUGAAUCGGGUAGUGUUCCAUACAGUAAUAAUGCCGACACCAUCUGCAGUAAUAAUGACUUGACCAUCACUGAGGAGCCAGAUGGCAGAUAG